rnacentral:precursor_RNA from 1 species
GGAGAUUAAGGGUAAGGGAGGUGACAGAAGAGAGUGAGCACACAUGGUACUUUCUUGCUUGAUGAUGUUUCAUGCUUGAAACUAUGCGUGCUCACUCUCUCUCUGUCACCCCAUCACCAUAUCUCU